UACGUAGGGGGCAAGCGUUGUCCGGAUUUAUUGGGCGUAAAGAGCGCGUAGGCGGCCAGGUAGGUCGGCUGUGAAAACUCGAGGCUCAACCUCGAGCUGUCGGCCGAAACCAUCUGGCUAGAGUCCGGAAGAGGAGAAUGGAAUUCCCGGUGUAGCGGUGAAAUGCGCAGAUAUCGGGAAGAACACCCGUGGCGAAGGCGGUUCUCUGGGACGGUACUGACGCUGAGACGCGAAAGCGUGGGGAGCGAACAGG
rnacentral:rRNA from 1 species